rnacentral:rRNA from 1 species
UGGCUCAGGAUGAACGCUGGCGGCGUGCUUAACACAUGCAAGUCGAACGAAGCGAUUUAGCGGAAGUUUUCGGAUGGAAGCUGGAUUGACUGAGUGGCGGACGGGUGAGUAACGCGUGGGUAACCUGCCUCACACUGGGGGACAACAGUUAGAAAUGACUGCUAAUACCGCAUAAGCGCACAGGACCGCAUGGUCCGGUGUGAAAAACUCCGGUGGUGUGAGAUGGACCCGCGUUUGAUUAGCUAGUUGGUGGGGUAACGGCCUACCAAGGCGACGAUCAAUAGCCGACCUGAGAGGGUGACCGGCCACAUUGGGACUGAGACACGGCCCAAACUCCUACGGGAGGCAGCAGUGGGGAAUAUUGCACAAUGGGGGAAACCCUGAUGCAGCGACGCCGCGUGAGUGAAGAAGUAUUUCGGUAUGUAAAGCUCUAUCAGCAGGGAAGAAAAUGACGGUACCUGACUAAGAAGCCCCGGCUAACUACGUGCCAGCAGCCGCGGUAAUACGUAGGGGGCAAGCGUUAUCCGGAUUUACUGGGUGUAAAGGGAGCGUAGACGGUAAAGCAAGUCUGAAGUGAAAGCCCGGGGCUCAACCCCGGGACUGCUUUGGAAACUGUUUAACUAGAGUGCUGGAGAGGUAAGCGGAAUUCCUAGUGUAGCGGUGAAAUGCGUAGAUAUUAGGAGGAACACCAGUGGCGAAGGCGGCUUACUGGACAGUAACUGACGUUGAGGCUCGAAAGCGUGGGGAGCAAACAGGAUUAGAUACCCUGGUAGUCCACGCCGUAAACGAUG